GCGCCAGGCCACCGCUCCCAGCGCCACCGCCGCCAGCCCCAGCACCGCGACGCCGAUCCACGCGGGCCGCGCGGGCGCGGGGAGGCCAAGGCUGGAGAGCGCGCGUGAGCCGGCAGCACCCAUGACCGUGAAGCGCGGCACUGCGCUACUGUUGUCCACGCGGGGCCGCCCUCCUCCCGUCCGCCAGGCUCCUGGGCCUCGACGCCAGCGUGCGCGCGACUUCUGGGAAGGGGCCAGCAAAAGGGAAGACUGGGGAACAUCUGGCACAGCUGUCUGCGGCCGGAGAACGCCUCCUGAGUACUUGCAGGGUCUUGGACAAAAGACCUUCCUUUGAAAUGGGGUCACAAGAAAGGACCGGCCCACACACACACACACACACACACACCCCGGCUUCGUGGAGGAGUGACCCACCUCGGGUCUCCCCACAGCCCCCAGGACGCUCCGUUACAGCUCUUGGCAAGCCAGGAGGCAAGGCUUCUUUCCAGAAAGUAGGAAAGUAUUUUUCUCUUUUCUUUCCCAUUGGUUUGCCCUUAGUGUCGCUCAUCAUGGGCACAGGUGUGACAGUGGAAAGGCAUUAGGACAGUUAUCAGUGGGACAGGCGAAAGCUGCGUGACGGCUCCCACACGCGGUGACCUGGUGGUGGGGGAGCGCACUUUAGGCCCCCGCUGGGCCCCAUGCAGGGCUAUGUCUUCAGUACCCUGAAGUUUAGUCGCUUUGCUGCCUGGCUUUUUGUUCCUUUCCUUGCUUUAUUCACCAUUCUGGCUCUCUGGGGAGCAGCGUUCUGCUGAGUGGCUGCCCCAGCCUCUGCCUGCCCUCUGGUGCUGGCCACGAUCCAAGUCUCCUGUGGGCGGAUGCCCUCAAUGGCCUUUGUCUCUGGUCAUCCUUAGUGAGGCUGCUUCAGUGCGCAUCCCCUAAAACCACAAACCACAGGGAGGUACCUCAAGUCACCUUUCUGCCAGGUCCUCAGACACCCUCCUGGACGUCAGGAAACCUCGACCCUGUUGAUGAGAGCUGUGGGCUGCGCUUUGGGGGAACACAUUGGCCUCCUCUCCUGUUCAAUUUGAAAUCUGGACAAAUCUCCUGCCUAGUGAUGCCUUUAAAAUUCAGACCUUGUAAAGCACAUGAGGAGCCUGGGAGAAACGCACAUGGACACAGUGCUGUGGGAACAGUUGGGAGUCACCGCAGCUGGUCCCUCCAACUGAGCCCAAGUGCGACUCUCCAUGCUUCGGGCAGACUAGACGUGAGUCUAAAAUGACUGCACUUAGCAUGGAAUAAAAACCACACCAGGAACUGUGGUGAGCAUGAAAAGGUGAGAAAGAUUACACAAGGAAA